rnacentral:rRNA from 1 species
CUACGGGGUGCUGCAGUUAAGAAUCUUCCGCAAUGGACGAAAGUCUGACGGAGCGACGCCGCGUGGGUGAAGAAGGCCGAGAGGUUGUAAAGCCCUUUUCUGCUUGAGGAAUAAGCCUGGUAGGGAAUGACCGGGUGAUGACGGUAGGGCAGGAAUAAGCCCCGGCUAAUUACGUGCCAGCAGCCGCGGUAACACGUAUGGGGCGAGCGUUGUUCGGAAUCAUUGGGCGUAAAGGGCGUGUAGGCGGAAAUGCAAGUCUGGUGUGAAAGACCGCAGCUCAACUGCGGGGACGCGCUGGAAACUGCAUAUCUUGAGUUCCGGAGGGGGAGUUGGAAUUCCUGGUGUAGGGGUGAAAUCUGUUGAUAUCAGGAAGAACAUCGGUGGCGAAGGCGAACUCCUGGACGAGAACUGACGCUGAGGCGCGAAAGCGUGGGGAGCGAACAGGAUUAGAUACCCCGGUAGUC